rnacentral:lncRNA from 1 species
CUGGGAUUACAGGCAUGAGCCACCACGCUCAGCCAAUGAACCUCUCGUUUCCAUCCACCAAAUAGGUAUUGGGCUUUGAAGUCAGUCAGACCUGGGUUCAAAUUCUAGCUCUGCCACUUACAGUCUAUGUAGCUUGGGACAAACUGCUUAAACUCUAAAGCCUCAGUUUCCCCAUCUGUGUAAAGGUGUUAAGAAGACUUAACUCAAAGGGCAAUUAUGAGGAUUGACAGCGUUGACACAAUACCUGGCAUAUGAUGAACACUCAAUAGACAGUAAUCAAGCUAUGCUGGCCACUCCCUAUGUGGAGUUUUGAAUCAGGAGGCUGAGUGCAGAGUGCAGAGUCCUCUUGGCCAGGUCCGACUGCGGAGACGGCAGAGGAGUGAAGGAGGUGCUGUGUACCCCAGGUCCCAGCUGUGUGCACCUUGAACUGGGGGAACCCCCGCCUCCUUUCUGUCUGGCAUGAACUCUGCUUCCUCCCAAGGAGUUUGAGGCCUGAAUUCACCCAUGGUUUAUUCACCCCUGACCCAAGCAAACGUUCAGUGUUGAGAGGAAGCAACAAAUGUGAAAGAUCAAGGCAGAACACAGAGCAUUUCUGAGGAAGUCUGUCGCGCCCACUGUUUUGACAGGCUCUGGAAGCCCAGCUUUGCCUAGCCCAGGGCAAGUACAGUACUCUAGGAAGUAGUACUCGGGUGGGGCUGUUGGUAGCCGGGGGUGGUCAUCUGAUUACCAGGGAAAUGCAGAGUUUAUUUUAUCUAAUUACCAGGGAACUGCCUGAGAGAUUUCAUCUGUCAUAAUUCUAAACAAUGCUGAGGAGACUUUAUCUUUACAGUUUCCAGUGUAAAGGCCAGAGGAUGCUGGUUGUUGAGAGUGGUGAGGGGGACAUAAGCGUACAUUAUUCAGUUUUGUCUGAUUUUGUAUACACUUGAAAAUCCCCUUAAUAAAAAGCAGCACCAAAGCCAGGAGCAAUGGUGUGCACCUGUGGUCCCAGCUACUCGGGAGUCUGAGUGGGGAGGAUGGCUUGAGCCCAGGAAUUCCAGACCAGCCUGGGCAACAUAGUGAGACCCACCUCUAAAAAACCAGCAACAAACAAAAAACAGAAAAACCAAAACAAAUUUUUUUUUUUUUUGAGACGGAGUCUGGCUCUGUCUCCCA